rnacentral:tRNA from 1 species
GAAAUAUGAAAUAUCAAGAUAAAGCUUCUAACUUCCAUCUUUAGCGGUGUGAUUCCGUUAAUAUUUCU